rnacentral:rRNA from 1 species
GUUAGGAAUAUUGGACAAUGGGCGCAAGCCUGAUCCAGCCAUGCCGCGUGAGUGAUGAAGGCCUUCGGGUUGUAAAGCUCUUAAGUCCACGAAUAUAAUGACUGUAGUGGAAGAAUAAGCCCCGGCUAACUUCGUGCCAGCAGCCGCGGUAAUACGAAGGGGGCGAGCGUUAUUCGGAAUCACUGGGCGUAAAGCGUGCGUAGGCUGUUUUGUAAGUCAGAAUUGAAAGCCCAGGGCUUAACCCUGGAAUUGCUUUUGAAACUACAAGACUCGAAUUCGGGAGAGGAUAGCGGAAUUGUCAGUGUAGCAGUGAAAUGCGUAGAUAUUGACAGGAACACCAGUGGCGCAAGCGGCUAUCUGGACCGAUAUUGACGCUGAGGCACGAAAGCGUGGGGAGCAAACAGGAUUAGAUACCCCUGUAGUCC